rnacentral:rRNA from 1 species
GACGAACGCUGGCGGCGUGCCUAAUACAUGCAAGUUGAGCGCUGAAGGUUGGUACUUGUACCAACUGGAUGAGCAGCGAACGGGUGAGUAACGCGUGGGGAAUCUGCCUUUGAGCGGGGGACAACAUUUGGAAACGAAUGCUAAUACCGCAUAAAAACUUUAAACACAAGUUUUAAGUUUGAAAGAUGCAAUUGCAUCACUCAAAGAUGAUCCCGCGUUGUAUUAGCUAGUUGGUGAGGUAAAGGCUCACCAAGGCGAUGAUACAUAGCCGACCUGAGAGGGUGAUCGGCCGCAUUGGGACGGAGACACGGCCCAAACUCCUACGGGAGGCAGCAGUAGGGAAUCUUCGGAAAUGGGCGAAAGUCUGACCGAGCAACGCCGCGUGAGUGAAGAAGGUUUUCGGAUCGUAAAACUCUGUUGGUAGAGAGGAACGUUGGUGAGAGUGGAAAGCUCAUCAAGUGACGGUAACUACCCAGAAAGGGACGGCUAACUACGUG